GUCUCUGGCCAUACCACCCUAAAAAUGCACUAUUUCAUCUGGUCUUGGAAGCUAAGCAGGGUCAGGCCUGGUUAGUACUUGGAUGGAAGACAGAUCUUCAAAAGAGACUUCUCAGAGACA
rnacentral:rRNA from 1 species